rnacentral:rRNA from 1 species
ACGAACGCUGGCGGCGUGCCUAAUACAUGCAAGUAGAACGCUGAAGGCGGAGCUUGCUCUUCUGGAUGAGUUGCGAACGGGUGAGUAACGCGUAGGUAACCUGCCUGGUAGCGGGGGAUAACUAUUGGAAACGAUAGCUAAUACCGCAUAAGAGUAGAUGUUGCAUGACAUUUGCUUAAAAGGUGCAAUUGCAUCACUACCAGAUGGACCUGCGUUGUAUUAGCUAGUUGGUGGGGUAACGGCUCACCAAGGCGACGAUACAUAGCCGACCUGAGAGGGUGAUCGGCCACACUGGGACUGAGACACGGCCCAGACUCCUACGGGAGGCAGCAGUAGGGAAUCUUCGGCAAUGGACGGAAGUCUGACCGAGCAACGCCGCGUGAGUGAAGAAGGUUUUCGGAUCGUAAAGCUCUGUUGUAAGAGAAGAACGAGUGUGAGAGUGGAAAGUUCACACUGUGACGGUAUCUUACCAGAAAGGGACGGCUAACUACGUG